AAAGUCACAAACGCAAGCCUGUGGGAAGGAAGGGAUGUUUGAAGAUGGAAAUAUGCGUUUGUGCAGGAUGGGUUUCAUGAGGCUUACCAUCCACCCAUGAAACUUAUCUGAUUUGGCCCUGAUUGCUGUGACAAAUGCUUGAGCAAUUAAGUUUAGACUUAAAAUAGAGGGGUGUGCAACAAAAGCAUAUGAUGAACAAAAUGACCGCGGUAAGGAGUGACUUAAUUAAAUUGCAGCAACUGUUGCAAUCCUUCUUGCUGGCCCUGGGUGAUAAGCAUUGGAAACUGUCCAAAAUAUUACCAGAUUGGGAAGAUACAGAAGAACAAGACCAUGAAUUGAACUGUAUUAUACCCCUCUGAACAUAGAAUAUGGGCAUGAGAAAUUAAAAGCCAGUGGCAAACCAUUAACCUAGAGCCCUGCUCUAUGAAGGAACAGUUAGGCUACAUAUGUGAAAGGAUUUUAGGUAAAGGCAUUUGUUUGGACUCUCUCCAUAGACCAGCAUUUUAAAUACUGGUAGUUUGCAUGAAAACUCCACAAAAAUUGAGUUUAUGCAUACAUCCUGUUCAAAUUACGGAAAAGGAACUGAUUUACUUAUCUGCCCCAAAGGGUGGGUAUUACACAUUCACUGGAAUAAACAUACAGCAGAACACUCAAUGUGACAAAGCCAGGGCAGGUCUCAGACUCCUUCCUCUCGCAAAAAGCAAGAGCAGCACACCUUUCAUACACAUACAGGAUAACAGUUUUGGGCAUGUUUUAUGUGACUUCUAUCUCUUCCUUCUCCUUCUAGAAUGAUUCACCUACAGAAAAAAUCCGUUCUGUUGGAGAGGAACUGUCUACACUAAAUGGGAAGGUAUGAAUUAGCAUCUCCAGCUUUUAGAGGGCAACUGUUCUUGUUUAUGUUCCAGGAAAUCCAUCUUUAUUAAGAUUUUGAUACUGCAUACUUACUUAACCACUUAACGCUGUUUUAAGAUACUGGGCUUUGAAGCAGUGAGUAAUUUCCACUGAUCUCAGUGGAAACUUAAAGCCAUCAGUAACGAGUGCUUCUAAAGAUCCUAUUCCCCAUUUUAUCCCAGAACCCCCAGAAAGGAACCGUACUAAACGGACUCAUUCAGUAUGGUUCUAGAAUACCAGUGCCAUACAGAGAGUAAUAUACAGACCUGACAUAGGUGCCUUUAUCACCAUAUUUUAAGAUUUCAUAAAUACUUCAAGAAAGAGUCUUCAGAAAGCACCAAAGUAAAGUCAGUAGUUCAAGUGACAAGCUCCUUCAAAGAUCAAUGCAACUUCCUUGGAUCUGAAGCUUUUAGUGUGCUUUUCCUGGCUGUAUAAUUGCUGAAUAUUGCCACGUAAAUAUUUUCUUUUCUUUCUUUUCUUUCCCUAUGCAAUCUCUUCCAGAAUAUGUUAGUAGUAGAGGUAAGUAACAAUUGAAGGAGAAGGGGAAUGACAUGGACUUUUUUCUCCCUGCUUUUCAAGUUAAUACAUAUUACACAUAAAACAAUAAUUAAUUAUGUUACUGGGCUGCCAAGUUUGCAUGCUCUAAUUUAAUCCAGUGAUAGUCUGGUUUUCCUUUCAGACUUGAAGGAUAAUUUGGUUUUUUAUCUCUUUCGGGACAUUACUGACACUGGUAGAACAAUGAAUGCACUGCUUUCAAAAAUAAAAGACAAGAAAACCAAGGAUGGUAAAAGUUGUAAGCCUGCUUGUUAAAAGGACAUGUCAGAGUCCAGGUUACAGAUCAGACUGUGAGUAUUGUGUUCUCCUAGUAUUGUUUUUUUCUGUAUUUUCCAAAAUAUAGUCUUAUAAUUUCACUUCACGCAGCACAUCUGACAACCGGCACAUACAUUUCAUGAAAGCCAAGAGAAAUGGGGAGAAAAUACAUAAAAACUUGUGAACUAAUGACCAGCUAGGCAUGCCAUCCUGAGAUCUCAUGACCACCUUCUUUUUUUCCCCUGCUUGGCCUGAGUGCAGGCUUAGCUUUGAUAUACAAAUUAAACUAUUUAGAUAGCAGAAACAGAGCCAAACCUUAACUGUGUAUUAUUUUGCUUUGACCUGAGAGGGCAUUUGUUUUGACUCUGCAUUAUUAAACUUGCUUUGUUUCCAAACUGAAAAGUCCUACAUCAUUCACCCUGCAUCUCCUUUUACUCAAGUAAAAUCUCACUCCUUGUCUCGUCUCCCAGGACUACCUCAUAACUAGGUUUUAAACAAUUAUUUUGUUCAUAAAAAUCAUUCUCUUAACAACUGUAUUACUGACUGAUGGGAAUGGUUUAGAUUCUUACCUCUGACAUCAAUUUACAGCUCAGAUUCUUAAGGAAGCACCCUGAAAGAGAGAGGAUGCCGAUUACUCUUAGCUCAAGCAUGUGUUGAAUACAAAGUGUGCACUUAAAAGCUACUUACGCCACUGAAGUAUAAAAAGAACAGUAUUUUCUUACAGAUACAGGCUUUGAAAUUCCAGAUAAAUUUGUGAUUGGAUAUGCUCUUGACUAUAAUGAAUACUUCAGAGACCUAAAUGUAAGUACAUGCACAUUCCUCCACUACCAGGUAUCAGGUACCUACCUACUGCAGGUACCCAGCAAGAACAUUUGCUUCUACUCAGAGCUUCUCAGCAAUUAAAAACCCUUCCAUUCCAA